rfam:Tupaia chinensis contig45520, whole genome shotgun sequence.
CUAAAGGCUCUUUUCAGAGCCACUCAAGGCCUUCGCCCGGUGAAG